rnacentral:rRNA from 1 species
AUUGAACGCUGGCGGCAGGCCUAACACAUGCAAGUCGAGCGGAUGACGGGAGCUUGCUCCUUGAUUCAGCGGCGGACGGGUGAGUAAUGCCUAGGAAUCUGCCUGGUAGUGGGGGACAACGUUUCGAAAGGAACGCUAAUACCGCAUACGUCCUACGGGAGAAAGCAGGGGACCUUCGGGCCUUGCGCUAGCAGAUGAGCCUAGGUCGGAUUAGCUAGUUGGUGAGGUAAUGGCUCACCAAGGCGACGAUCCGUAACUGGUCUGAGAGGAUGAUCAGUCACACUGGAACUGAGACACGGUCCAGACUCCUACGGGAGGCAGCAGUGGGGAAUAUUGGACAAUGGGCGAAAGCCUGAUCCAGCCAUGCCGCGUGUGUGAAGAAGGUCUUCGGAUUGUAAAGCACUUUAAGUUGGGAGGAAGGGCAGUAAGCUAAUACCUUGUUGUUUUGACGUUACCGACAGAAUAAGCACCGGCUAACUCUGUGCCAGCAGCCGCCGCAG